GAGAAAUCAGGAAGAAGCCAGUUUAUAUAAGCGUCACAGUCUCUGCUGUGGUGGCCAGAAUAAUUACCCCCCUGCCCUAUGCCAUCCAUGUCCUAAUUCCUGGAACUUGUGAAUAUGUCACCUUUAUGUGGCAAAAAGGGACUUUGCAGAAGUGAUGAAGUUGCAGAUCUUGAGAUGGGGAGAGUAGCCUGCAUUAUCCAGGAACAGUCUCCUCAGGAGGAAUUGAGCACCGACGAUCCACAGUGAGAAGGGACAGCAUUUAAUGGAACUAUGGUCUCUGCACAAAACCAACUGUGAGGCUGUUGAUGCCCAGGUUCCACUCAGUGCUCAAGAACAGGGGAGCUCUGCGGCCCAGGGUGUGGAUACUGUGCCGUGGCUGGUUUCUCCAUGUCUGUGAAGGCGGCCGCACCCUCCUUCCCUAAACCACAGGCUGGGGCCUCUUGAGUGGGUCCCUUGACAGAAGGCCUCAGGUUGUGAUUCCUGUCAUCAAAGUCCUGGGCAAGGCCAGGCCCCAUGGGCGCCGAAUAGAGGUGAUUCCCACCUGGGAGAUGGAGGGUCUUCUGGGAAGCUGAGCAAGCCUGGGGGAACGGAGCCCUCCAAAGCAGCAGUGUGAAAUCAGAAACCAGUUCCCACACACUUGCCUCUUGUUAGAACAUCCUCCUCACUGGCUGAAGAGAAACUAAGAGAACUCCUGGAAGAGCUGGCUCAGAGAUUUAAAUAGGCCAGGCCAGACCAGACGCACGGCCAGAAUCGCCUUAGAGAAGACAAGACGGUGUGGACUAGGGGCCAGUGAGCAGACUCGAAAGAUGCCACUGUAGCAAUAAGGAACCUCCAUGGGAUGGGAACUUUUACCUUAAAAUAAAUAUGACUGGGGCUGGGAACAAGCUAACCUUCAUCUUCUGCAGCACAAUCUUUUCCUGUGUAGAUCUUAUUUGAGAAUGUGGUUUUCUUAAAAAUUCUACG
rnacentral:lncRNA from 1 species